rnacentral:rRNA from 1 species
AAUGAACGCUGGCGGCGUGCUUAACACAUGCAAGUCGUGCGCGAAGGAGGCUUCGGUCUCCGGAGAGCGGCGAACGGGUGAGUAACACGUGGGUAAUCUGCCUGGGAGCGUGGGAUAACCUGGGGAAACUCGGGCUAAUACCGCGUACGUUGAUGGGGCUUCGGUUCUGUCAAGAAAGCUGGCCUCUAUUCAUAAGCUAGCGCUCCCAGAGGAGCCCGCGGCUGAUUAGCUAGUUGGUGAGGUAAUGGCUCACCAAGGCGACGAUCAGUA